rnacentral:rRNA from 1 species
CGUGGAGACAGGUGGUGCAUGGCUGUCGUCAGCUCGUGUCGUGAGAUGUUGGGUUAAGUCCCGCAACGAGCGCAACCCUCACCUCUUGUUGCCAUCAGGUCAUGCUGGGCACUCUAGAGGAACUGCCCCGGUCAACGGGGAGGAAGGCGGGGAUGACGUCAAGUCAUCAUGCCCCUUACGUCCUGGGCUACACACGUGCUACAAUGGCCGGUACAAAGGGAUGCCACACCGCGAGGUAGAGCUAAACCCAAAAAGCCGGUCUAAGUUCAGAUUGGAGUCUGCAACUCGACUCCAUGAAGGAGGAAUCGCUAGUAAUCGCGUAUCAGCACGACGCGGUGAAUACGUUCCCGGGCCUUGUACUCACCGCCCGUCACACCACGAAAGCCUGCUGUACUCGAAGUCGCUGAG